CUUUUUGUGGAAUCUGCAAGUGGAUAUUUGUCUAGCUUUGAGGAUUUCGUUGGAAACGGGAUUACAUAUAAAAAGCAGACAGCAGCAUUCCCAGUAACUUCUUUGUGAUGUUUGCAUUCAAGUCACAGAGUUGAACAUUCCCUUUCAUAGAACAGGUUUGAAACAUUCUUUUUGUAGUAUCUGGAUGUGGACAUUUGGAGCGCUUUCAGGCCUAUGGUGAAAAAGGAAAUAUCUUCCCCUGAAAACUAGACAGAAGCAUUCUCAGAAUCUUAUUUGUGAUGUGCGCCCUCAACUAACAGUGUUGAAGCUUUCUUUUGAUAGAGCAGUUUUG
rnacentral:lncRNA from 10 species